UAAUAAUUAUAAUUGCCCGAAAUUGACCCGCGAUUUAUUGUAUAAUAUAAUGCCCUGGUUGCGCUUGAAAUAUUCGAUUUUGUGCUGAAUGUUGAACAAGUCGGAAACGGGAAGCUCGAUGCGUCAGUAGUGGAUAUCCGUUGACAUCACCUAAGGGGUACCAAUUUGACCCAAAAGAAGCAACUUUAACACCCAGCAGUAAUAACCACAUUUUAUGUAAAAGAUUACCAUAAUCUUGAUGUUGCAGACGCGAAAACACAGAUUUAAUUUGAUAUUCACAGUUAGCAGCCAUAUUGUUGCGAGAAGAUUGGCGGACAUAACUAACUUCACUAAUUUGAUAAGUGCUCGACAGCGAUGGGCAAGAAGUGGUUGAAUAAGAUCAACGCUAGUUUCUUAUGUGUUUGACAUUAGUGGAUUAACAAAAUUCAUGAUACCACUUCUAACUUGGAAAAACAAAUAACUAUAAAAAGACUCUUCUCAUUAUUU